rnacentral:rRNA from 1 species
AAGAGUUUGAUCCUGGCUCAGGAUGAACGCUGGCGGCGUGCCUAACACAUGCAAGUCGAGCGCGAUUAGACGGACUGGAGACUUCGGUCAAAGGGAAGACUAUGAAAGCGGCGGACCUGCCCUGUACAGGGGGAUAACACUCGGAAACGAGUGCUAAUACCGCAUAAGACCACGACAUGGCAUCAUGACGAGGUCAAAGGAGCAAUCCGCUGAGAGAGGGGCUCGCGUCCCAUUAGAUAGAUGGCGGGGUAACGGCCCACCAUGUCAACGAUGGGUAGCCGAGCUGAGAGGCUGAUCGGCCACACUGGAACUGAGACACGGUCCAGACUCCUACGGGAGGCAGCAGUGGGGAAUAUUGGGCAAUGGGCGCAAGCCUGAUGCAGCAACGCCGCGUGAGUGAUGAAGGCCUUCGGGUCGUAAAACUCUGUCCUAAGGGAAGAAGAAGUGACGGUACCUUAGGAGGAAGCCCCGGCUAACUACGUGCCAGCAGCCGCGGUAAUACGUAGGGGGCAAGCGUUAUCCGGAAUCACUGGGCGUAAAGGGUGCGUAGGUGGCCUUUUAAGUUGGAUGUGAAAUACCCGGGCUUAACCUGGGGGGUGCAUCUAAUACUGGGAGGCUAGAGUGCAGGAGAGGAAAGCGGAAUUCCUAGUGUAGCGGUGAAAUGCGUAGAUAUUAGGAGGAACACCCGUGGCGAAGGCGGCUUUCUGGACUGUAACUGACGCUGAGGCACGAAAGCGUGGGGAGCAAACAGGAUUAGAUACCCUGGUAGUCCACGCGGUAAACGAUGAAUACUAGGUGUUGGAGAAAUUCAGUGCUGCAGUUAGCCAAGCGAAAGCGAUAAGUUAUCCACCUGGGGAGUACGAUCGCAAGGUUGAAACUCAAAGGAAUUGACGGGGGCCCGCACAAGCGGAGGAACAUGUGGUUUAAUUCGAUGAUACGCGAGGAACCUUACCUGGGCUUGAGACAUCCCUCUGAAUGGCGCUUAGCAGCGCAGGUCUUUCGGGACAGAGGAGACAGGUGGUGCAUGGUUGUCGUCAGCUCGUGUCGUGAGAUGUUGGGUUAAGUCCCGCAACGAGCGCAACCCUUGUCAUUAGUUGCCAGCAGUUCGGCUGGGCACUCUAGCAGAACUGCCGUUGACAAAACGGAGGAAGGUGGGGAUGACGUCAAAUCAUCAUGCCCCUUAUGUCUUGGGCUACACACGUACUACAAUGGCCUGAACAGAGGGAAGCGAAACUGCGAAGUUAAGCGAACCCCUUAAAACAGGUCCCAGUUCGGAUUGUAGGCUGCAACUCGCCUACAUGAAGUUGGAAUCGCUAGUAAUCGCAGGUCAGCAUACUGCGGUGAAUACGUUCCCGGGCCUUGUACACACCGCCCGUCA